AAUAACCUUAUUUUUUGUUUUUCCAUGUCCAACGUUUGAUCAUUCGUCUUAUUUAAAAAAUUUUUGCGAUUAAUAUUUUUAUUGUUACUAGAUGAUAAAAUAUGCAUAGUACUUUAUACGUGACUAAUUUUUUUAAAGUUUUUUAUAAAUUUUUCAAAUAAGACGAAUAGUCAAAAGUUGGAUACGGAAAAACGAAAAGUGAGGUUAUU
rfam:Oryza brachyantha chromosome 3, whole genome shotgun sequence.